ACCUCUUUGGUGUAGCGAUAACAUAGCGGAUUCUCAAGUAUGAGUGCUUCCGUUGCCCGGGGUUCGACUCCCCGGAGAGGUA